rnacentral:rRNA from 1 species
GUAGGUGGCAAGCGUUGUCCGGAAUUAUUGGGCGUAAAGCGCGCGCAGGUGGUUCUUUAAGUCCGAUGUGAAAGCCCCCGGCUCAACCGGGGAGGGUCAUUGGAAACUGGGGAACUUGAGUGCAGGAGAGGAAAGUGGAAUUCCACGUGUAGCGGUGAAAUGCGUAGAUAUGUGGAGGAACACCAGUGGCGAAGGCGACUUUCUGGCCUGUAACUGACACUGAGGCGCGAAAGCGUGGGGAGCAAACAGGAUUAGAUACCCUGGUAGUCCACGCCGUAAACGAUGAGUGCUAAGUGUUGGGGGGGUUUCCCGCCCCCCCCCCGAGUGCUGCAGCUAACGCAUUAAGCACUCCGCCUGGGGAGUACGGUCGCAAGACUG